rnacentral:rRNA from 1 species
UAAAGCGUGCGCAGGCGGUUUUGUAAGACUGUCGUGAAAUCCCCGGGCUCAACCUGGGAAUGGCGAUGGUGACUGCAAGGCUAGAGUUUGGCAGAGGGGGGUAGAAUUCCACGUGUAGCAGUGAAAUGCGUAGAUAUGUGGAGGAACACCGAUGGCGAAGGCGGCCCCCUGGGUCAAAACUGACGCUCAUGCACGAAAGCGUGGGGAGCAAACAGGAUUAGAUACCCUGU